AAGGGGUACAUCAUGUUCUGCCGGUGCUGUUUGAAAAUUGUUCAUUUGAUUGUCCUUAAUGAAUGCUUUUCAGAUAUAUUUAAUUUUGUGACUUAUUGAUUUCAUUGACACAUGAAUAUAAGUGAAGGGGUGCACCAGGAGGAAGGAAAUCAGCCAACUGAAAAAGUGGACACUCGUGCCCAGUACCAUUUGGAAACUCUAAUUACUGAUGCCUUUAAAGGGAAAGGGUUUCAGAAAAUCACAGAAUUAUUUGAAGACAAAGUCAUUUUCUCAUCCCAGCUCCAAAACAAGUUAUUUUUAAGCCAACUGGAUAAACUUAUAAAUAAGGAACUGGAUCGAAAUGAAUUCAAACAUGUCUCGUUAUUAAUGAAAUGUAUUCAACACUUCUGCAAAAAUGACUGCCAGGAAAGUCCAACAUUGGUUCAUCAGGGCCUGGUUUCAAAGAUGGUCAUGUGGUUUGAAAGAACUGUUGAUUUUCUGAGAAUUUCUAAAGAAGCAAACCUGCUCAUCCUAGUCGAAGAUUUCUAUGAUACUGCCUUGGUGAUUUGUAAAUGUAACUGUGAGGAUGGGAAAAGGCAGCUGCUCAAUAGUUUUUUAAUCAGACUUGGGCAUCUCGUCACAGAGAAAUGGCUUGCUUGCCAUCUCCGUUUGGAGGCUCUGAGGACUAUAAACUGCAUUUUAGAUUCCAUCUCAAGGGAAGACAAGAAGAAACUGCACUGCUCUGAAGAUGUGUGUGAGCUUACGAAAGAUUUAGCAAGAACAAUACUAGAAGCUGGAGACUAUGAUAUUCAGGUAGCCAUUUCAGAAGCACUGUGCCGGAUGAUGGGGAAGAAAUUUAGGGAGAGCUUUGUUCAUCGAUGGUUUGAAGAUAAUUUUCUUGCUGAAGCCUUUAAAGAAAUUAAGGAUAAAGAAUUUGAAACGGAUUGCAGAAAGUUUUUGAAUUGCUUGAAUUCUAGGCAUCAGAACAACAAAGGGGUUUAUACAUUUCCUUGCAUCACUGUUUUCACUGAUCUGGAUGAGCUGAAAAAACCACAGGACGAAAACUUGGAAGACUUCUGGAUCGAUUUUAAUGCUGGAAGUCAGUGUGUGUCUUUCUACAUCCAUAACACAGAGGGUUCUCUUUGGGAUUCCGUCAGGCUGCUGAAGGAGUCUGUUUACAAUUACACCCUGAAAGAAAAUGAUGGAAAACAAAUGUUGAGCAUAUAUCUAAAAGAUCCUCAGAUUAUUAAUGCCAAAGACAUAACAAAAUUGAAGAUCUACUUUGAGCCCAAGCAUGACAUCCAGAGCGCCAUCCAGAGAGUGUUUGAAGAUAUAAAUGAGAGCCACAGUGACCCUGUGGAAUCAGAUUCAAGGGAAUGUUUAACAGAUAUCGGUGACGGCCUGGCUUCUCAUGCUGUCAUAACAACAGCCACAACGUUUCAGCAGUGGAAGAGGAAUCGAGCAAACAAAAUGGAUUCUUCGUCUGACAUCCUUUGUUCUCUGACCAGUGAGCAUUCCUCGACAACUAAAACGAGCUCUGCAAACCAGUCAAUCCAGAAGACCUGGAGCACUUCUGAUUCUCAUGAAAUUGUUAUAGAAUCUGUUCCGCUUGAGGCAGUUAUAUCUAUCAUUGACAAGCAAACAAAUUCAGAACAAGUCCAAGAUGACGAUAAUGAUGCAAUCCUUCAAGAGACUCUUUCUGAUGUUCCUUCAAAGGAUUCAAAUCAAGAAACCAUAGAAGUAACAGAAGCCAGUCCUGACAAGGAGAUUGCCCCAAAGAAAUCCCAGGAUGUUUUUCAAUUUCAAGGUUAUUCUGACUCCCUUGCAUCUGAUCAGGUGUCCGAAGCGAAAAAGAAAAUCUUGCUACCGGAACAAUCAAUAGAGAGAGAUACACCGGCAUCCAGAAAUAGAGAUUCCAUGAACAGUUCUCUUCGGAGACCGUCUUCUGCAUACAGAAGUCAUCUUUUCUCUGAAAGUAAUGGAACUGCUAGCAACACAGAAAGCGAGAGGAGUUGGAUCCUAGAUUUUAAAAACAAAGCACCAGUGAAAUCUGCAGACUACAGCCGUAAAAAGCCUAAAAUUAAAAGUAAACUCAAAGUGUUGCCAUUAUCUUCAGAAUCUGGUGAUGAUGAAAAACAGAUGGAGACUACGGAAACGGUCUCCAGAUUUAUGACUCGUAAAGAAAUGCAAAGGCUAGAGGACGGCAAUCCAAAAAGUCCUCCUUCAGCUGCACUUAAACUCCCUGGUAUUUCAGCUCUCCUAACUCCAGGAGAUUCUCGUUCCCAAAGUAAAAACUUUCGGUAUCUGUCUGAAAUUGAUGAUCAGGAUAUUAUGGACCCAAUAGAAGAAGCUUCUUCUCCAAACAUUUCUAAGACAGUAGACCGUAAUAAGGAACCUAAAAAUGGUUCUGAUGGACCUUUAAACAGAACAGUUGAUGGCAACAAGGAAUAUCAUACAGCUGAUACACUGCAACAUGCAACUGGGAAACGGAAACAUUAUAAAACCUGCGAGAGGGAGGAAAUUCCUUUUAAGCCACGAAAACUUUUUAGUUCAACUGAGAAGAAUAUGAUUAGACCAGCUGCUGAUUCUGAAGAUUCAGAUGAUGUGUUUUACUCUGAAUCCCAUGAUCAAGAUCUUGGAGAAGCAAGUGUUGUCUCUGCAUUUGACAGCUUCACCAAGGAUCUAAAAAGAACAUUUUUGACAAGGUAUAAAAAGAUUGAAAACAGGGCAAACCAUGUGCUGAAUACCUCUCACCAGCAGAUUUCCACUGUAUUACAUGAAAUACAUCAGUGCAGAUUACGCAAAAUCAAUCACUUUCAUAAGAUAGUUGUACAUGAACUUUCUAACCUUGAGGCUGAGGUACAAGCACUGAAACAACUUGAGAAAGAGACACUGGAUUUCUGGGAGGAUCAGCAUGUAAAAAUGGAUACAUUUUGCAGCAGUCAGAAGCAAAGAGUUACAUGGCUAAGUCUUGACUGAAACUUGACUGAAACUGGUGUAAAUGAUGCAUUCAGCAACAAUUGCCUAUUUUCCAGGAUUAAAACCAUGGAUUCUGCAAUUUUGGAGACGAUAGGCAACCUGAAAAACGUAAUUCAGAAAACCACGAAGGAAGACAUUUCUAAUACUGAAGAACAUAUCCAGAACAAAUUGUUGAAAUAAAACAAGCCAAAUUUAUGUGCUUUUUGCAAUUUCCAGUCCAGCUCAUAUCAAUGUUAAAAUAGUUUCUUCUUUAUUUUUGUUUUGUAAAAAUUCUAACAGUUGGUUGGUAUGAAUUUCUGUUAAGUGGGCAACACUUUACCUUAGAAUAAAAAUCA